AAUGAACGCUGGCGGCAGGCCUAAUACAUGCAAGUCGAGCGAGCGGCGGACGGGUGAGCAAUGGCUGGGAAACUGCCUGACGGAGGGGGAUAACGAGUGGAAACGGUAGAUAAUACCGCAUACCAUCAGAUGUGCCCAGAUGGGAUUAGCUAGUAGGUGGGGUAAUGGCACACCUAGGCGACGAUCCCUAGCAGGUCUGAGAGGAUGACCAGCCACACUGGAACUGAGACACGGUCCAGACUCCUACGGGAGGCAGCAGUGGGGAAUAUUGCACAAUGGGCGCAAGCCUGAUGCAGCCAUGCCGCGUGUGUGAAGAAGGCCUUCGGGUUGUAAAGCACUUUCAGCGAGGAGGCGUUACUCACAGAAGAAGCACCGGCUAACUCCGUGCCAGCAGCCGCGGUAAUUC
rnacentral:rRNA from 1 species